GACGAACGCUGGCGGCGUGCUUAACACAUGCAAGUCGAACGGAAAGGCCCUUCGGGGUACUCGAGUGGCGAACGGGUGAGUAACACGUGGGUGAUCUGCCCUGCACUUUGGGAUAAGCCUGGGAAACUGGGUCUAAUACCGAAUAGGACCACGCGCUUCAUGGUGUGUGGUGGAAAGCUUUUGCGGUGUGGGAUGGGCCCGCGGCCUAUCAGCUUGUUGGUGGGGUAAUGGCCUACCAAGGCGACGACGGGUAGCCGGCCUGAGAGGGUGACCGGCCACACUGGGACUGAGAGACGGCCCAGACUCCUACGGGAGGCAGCAGUGGGGAAUAUUGCACAAUAGGCGCAAGCCUGAUGCAGCGACGCCGCGUGAGGGAUGACGGCCUUCGGGUUGUAAACCUCUUUCAAUAGGGACGAAGCGCAAGUGACGGUACCUAUAGAAGAAGCACCGGCCAACUACGUG
rnacentral:rRNA from 1 species